GACGAACGCUGGCGGCGUGCUUAACACAUGCAAGUCGAACGGAAAGGCCCUGCUUUUGUGGGGUGCUCGAGUGGCGAACGGGUGAGUAACACGUGAGUAACCUGCCCUUGACUUUGGGAUAACUUCAGGAAACUGGGGCUAAUACCGGAUAGGAGCUCCUGCUGCAUGGUGGGGGUUGGAAAGUUUCGGCGGUUGGGGAUGGACUCGCGGCUUAUCAGCUUGUUGGUGGGGUAGUGGCAUACCAAGGCUUUGACGGGUAGCCGGCCUGAGAGGGUGACCGGCCACAUUGGGACUGAGAUACGGCCCAGACUCCUACGGGAGGCAGCAGUGGGGAAUAUUGCACAAUGGGCGGAAGCCUGAUGCAGCAACGCCGCGUGCGGGAUGACGGCCUUCGGGUUGUAAACCGCUUUCGCCUGUGACGAAGCGUGAGUGACGGUAAUGGGUAAAGAAGCACCGGCUAACCACGUG
rnacentral:rRNA from 1 species